rnacentral:rRNA from 2 species
UGUUUGAUGUUCUAACGUGGACCCGUAAUCCGGGUUGCGGACAGUGUCUGGUGGGUAGUUUGACUGGGGCGGUCUCCUCCUAAAGAGUAACGGAGGAGCACGAAGGUUGGCUAAUCCUGGUCGGACAUCAGGAGGUUAGUGCAAUGGCAUAAGCCAGCUUGACUGCGAGCGUGACGGCGCGAGCAGGUGCGAAAGCAGGUCAUAGUGAUCCGGUGGUUCUGAAUGGAAGGGCCAUCGCUCAACGGAUAAAAGGUACUCCGGGGAUAACAGGCUGAUACCGCCCAAGAGUUCAUAUCGACGGCGGUGUUUGGCACCUCGAUGUCGGCUCAUCACAUCCUGGGGCUGAAGUAGGUCCCAAGGGUAUGGCUGUUCGCCAUUUAAAGUGGUACGCGAGCUGGGUUUAGAACGUCGUGAGACAGUUCGGUCC